GGAAAGGCGCGCGAUACAGGGUGACAGCCCCGUACACAAAAAUGCACAUGCUGUGAGCUCGAUGAGUAGGGCGGGACACGUGGUAUCCUGUCUGAAUAUGGGGGGACCAUCCUCCAAGGCUAAAUACUCCUGACUGACCGAUAGUGAACCAGUACCGUGAGGGAAAGGCGAAAAGAACCCCGGCGAGGGGAGUGAAAAAGAACCUGAAACCGUGUACGUACAAGCAGUGGGAGCACAGAGCAAUCUGUGUGACUGCGUACCUUUUGUAUAAUGGGUCAGCGACUUAUAUUCUGUAGCAAGGUUAACCGAAUAGGGGAGCCGAAGGGAAACCGAGUCUUAACUGGGCGUUAAGUUGCAGGGUAUAGACCCGAAACCCGGUGAUCUAGCCAUGGGCAGGUUGAAGGUUGGGUAACACUAACUGGAGGACCGAACCGACUAAUGUUGAAAAAUUAGCGGAUGACUUGUGGCUGGGGGUGAAAGGCCAAUCAAACCGGGAGAUAGCUGGUUCUCCCCGAAAGCUAUUUAGGUAGCGCCUCGUGAAUUCAUCUCCGGGGGUAGAGCACUGUUUCGGCAAGGGGGUCAUCCCGACUUACCAACCCGAUGCAAACUGCGAAUACCGGAGAAUGUUAUCACGGGAGACACACGGCGGGUGCUAACGUCCGUCGUGAAGAGGGAAACAACCCAGACCGCCAGCUAAGGUCCCAAAGUCAUGGUUAAGUGGGAAACGAUGUGGGAAGGCCCAGACAGCCAGGAUGUUGGCUUAGAAGCAGCCAUCAUUUAAAGAAAGCGUAAUAGCUCACUGGUCGAGUCGGCCUGCGCGGAAGAUGUAACGGGGCUAAACCAUGCACCGAAGCUGCGGCAGCGACGCUGAUGCGUUGUUGGGUAGGGGAGCGUUCUGUAAGCCUGUGAAGGUGUGCUGUGAGGCAUGCUGGAGGUAUCAGAAGUGCGAAUGCUGACAUAAGUAACGAUAAAGCGGGUGAAAAGCCCGCUCGCCGGAAGACCAAGGGUUCCUGUCCAACGUUAAUCGGGGCAGGGUGAGUCGACCCCUAAGGCGAGGCCGAAAGGCGUAGUCGAUGGGAAACAGGUUAAUAUUCCUGUACUUGGUGUUACUG
rnacentral:rRNA from 1 species